CUAGUACUCCCUCCGUUCGGAAAAGCUUGUCUCAAACUUGUCUCUCAAAUGGAUGUAUCUGGCACUAAUUUGAUACUGGAUACAUCCAUUUGAGGGACAAGUUUUUUCAACGGAGGGAGUAGUGG
rfam:Triticum urartu cultivar G1812 contig1223713, whole genome shotgun sequence.